UACGUGGGGGGCAAGCGUUGUUCGGAAUUACUGGGCGUAAAGGGCUCGUAGGCGGCCAACUAAGUCAGACGUGAAAUCCCUCGGCUUAACCGGGGAGCUGCGUCUGAUACUGGAUGGCUUGAGUUUGGGAGAGGGACGCGGAAUUCCAGGUGUAGCGGUGAAAUGCGUAGAUAUCUGGAGGAACACCGGUGGCGAAGGCGGCGUCCUGGACCAACACUGACACUGAGGAGCGAAAGCCAGGGGAGCAAACGGG
rnacentral:rRNA from 1 species